CAUCACUAAUGACAAACAAAUAAUAUCCUUUGUACAACUCUAAUAAUACUUUCCUGACAGGUGUGAUAGUGGUUGGCACUAGAGAAAUAGCCUCAGACUGAAGAGUAUGUGAAAUUGAUCACCUCGAUGGGGGAGGGGCCCCAGAAGUGAAUUUCCUGAGGAGAGAAGACUCUGGUGAGAAGAGCAGUGAGGGUCUCUCAGUCUUGAGAUGUCGAAGAGAGAAGGUGGAUAAAGACUUUCUCCUGAGGGUAACCCAUUUUUCCUGCUGAUGACUGGAAAUCCUUCCCCUCAACACUUCACAAUUGAAGGGACUUUCUGAAGAGAAACCUGAGCAGAUGUUACCUCAGUUCCUGUUGCCCAGGGGCUAACUACUUCUACAUCCAGAUUCUUGUGUCUCAUCUGCAGAAUUUACCAUCAGAGUGAAGGAAGCCACCAACAAGCAGCUUCUUGGAGCUGACAGAAAAUGGUGGGUGAAUUUGGGGUUGGCCAGUGAGAUUAGCGGGAUAGCCUUCAUACCAGCAUUCUAGGUGCUAAGAUUUCCUCCAACUAUAUCAUGUUCUAUGUUCUGAGUUCUUCCAGUGCUGAUAUUAUAGAAGACUAUGGAAAAGUCAGGAUUGCUGCAUCGCACCUAUGCUUCCUUAUCCCCAGAGCAAAUGGCCAGUGACACUAUGGAAUUCUUCCAAACUGGAAAAAAAGACCCAUAUUCAAGUCCAUUCAACUAUCUACUCUGUGCCAAGCUUUGGGCAAGUACUGGGGAUACAGAAAAAUUAUAAAAACAAUUCUUGCUUUUAGGGAGCUCCCAGUCAAAUGGGGGAAAUAAGAUACAAACAAUAAUGUACAAACUACAUAUAGACUGUUCCAAAAGUUUUAGUGGAGUUUUAGGCUAUUAAAGCUUAACACUCAAUAAGAUAUCUAGUACUUUCUAUAUACAGGAAAAAAAUGGGGAUAAUAUCUAGUGAAGGCAUUAGAAUUGGGCUUAGGGGAGGGGAAGGGAAAAGUCUCUUGUAGAAGGAAGUAUUUUAGCUGAAAGAGGCUGGGAAAGUCAGGAAGAACUAGAGAUGAGGAGAAAAAAUAUUCCAAACAUGGGGGCUGGUCACUGAAACUGCCAAAUCAGAAAACAGUAUAUCUUGUGGGAUGAAAAGUAAUGAGGAUAUAGAGUAUGUGGAUGGAAAUAAGGCAUAAGAAGCCUUGAAAAUUAGGAAGGAGCAGAGCAUCUAGAUGAUUCAGUGGAUUGAGAGCUACUCCUAAAGAGGAGGGAUCCUAGAUUCAUAUCUGACCCCCUACACUUCCUAGCUGUAUGACCCUGGGCAAGUCAUUCAAGUCCAAAUGUCUAGACAUUUUCCACUCUUCUGCCUUGGAACCAAUGGACCAUAUUGAUUCUAGGAUGGAAGGUAAGGGUUUACAAAAACAAUGAAAGAAAGAAAAUUAGGAAGGGUCCAGAUUGUGAAGAUCUUUUAAAAACAGGAUUUUAUAUAUAACUCUGGAGUUACUAGGAAAAGAGGGAAGUUUCUUGAAUGGAUCUCAGUCAUGAUCCAUACUUUAGGAAGAUGAAUUUAGCAGUUGAGUGUAGGAUGGAUUUGAGUAGAGAGAAUUAAGGCAGGUAGAUCAUCAGUGGGCUAUUGCAACAGACUAGGAGGAAGUUGAUAAGAGCUUGCCUCAGGAUGGUAACAAUGUCAGAGGAGAGAAGGGGGAAAAUAUAAGAGAUUUUAUGAAAGUAGAAUCAACAGUCUUUUUAACAGACUGGAUAUGGUAUGAACACCUAAGUUGUGGGUAUGGGUGACUAAGAUGAUAUAGAACCCUUGACAAUAAUAGGAAAGUCUAAAAGAUGAUAGGGUUGAGGAAGGUGUUGAUGGAGAUAAAUAGCAUGGUAGCCCCCUUUUUUACUUUUAUCGUCUUAUUUCCUGGAGUUAAAACAUAACAUGAAAAGAGAGCAUUCAUACAGUAACUGCUACUUUCUCACUCUAGAUACAAAUAGGAAUAGACCAAGUCAGCUGUGGAAGAUAUCUGCAAUAAUAGUUCAAGAUCAAGGUAUAGGCUUUGAAUAACAAAAGGGGAGGGAGGAAAAGGAAGGAAAGAAAAAAUAAUAAGGAAAAGAAAGCAAAUUAGAAAGGAGUUGGGCACUAAAGCAAUGGAGGAUGUUGAAAGAGAGAAGGCCCUUUACAAAUGAGGUUUAGGUUUUCAAAAAUAAAUAAAACCAAAACAAUCUGGAUUGCUGAAAAAGCCCUACAUUUAGUUUUAAUCAGAGUGAGAGUUUGCCCCGAGCUUGGGUCUUGAUACUCUUGUCUUGAAUUUUCAUGUUCUUGUUGAGAUCAGGUAUUACUGAAAAUAGCUGAAAAUUGCAGAGGAUGAUAAUUACUCUGACUAUAGAGAUUCACAUUUCAGUAUCACAGAAUCCUGGAACAUUAUAGCUGGAAGAGAUCUCAGAGUGUGGAAGCUAGAAGGUUUUUCAGAUCAUGUAUUCAUUCACUGAUUUACUCAUUCUUUCACUGAGUGGAUAUUUAUUUAGUACCUACAAUGUGAGAGGGACUGUGUUAAUCAUUUUCUAUCUCCAAAUCACUAUAUAUUAAGUUGGAGUCUAAGAUCAUUGAAUCUAAAACUAGAUCAGCCCUGGAAAUUCCUUCUGAAACAAAGAAAGUUAGAACAAAAUAAUCUUAUAGGGUAGUUUAGGUCCCUUUGUUCUCAUAGAUUGCUCUGCCCAUCAGGUCCUCCUGCUUUCUUCUCAUUUCUUUCCAGGAAACAAGGCUGAGAGAACAGAAUUAUCCUCUAUUGUUAGGGGUCAAAUUGAAGUUUCUAUGAAAUCUUCACCAGAUAGCAAAAUAACGACAUGGUAAAACUAUGAACUUGACCUAUUUUACUGUCAAAAUUUCCCCCUGACACACACUUUUUUGUGUUUAUUUUGGUUUUCUUGAGUAUGUUGCAAAUGAAAAUUUCAAAUAUACAUCGUUCUCCUGUCAUCUUCUGCCUCCUUCUGCCCUAAGUUAAGGUCUUGUUAGAAAUUGUUUCCUCCCCCAUUCUCAUCCUUCAACAGAUUCAUUUGACAAAACUUUGUCAAGUAUCUAAACUAUGUGAGACAGUAAAGGUGCAAUGAUAAAAAUGGCACAUCCUUGUCCUCAAGGAGAUUACAUUCUACAGGCUGGGGAGUCAUUGCUCAAAAUGAAUACAACUAUAGAAUUAAUAAAACUCAUGCCUCAAAGAUCAUGUACGUAAAAUUCUACUCAUUAGCAGAAAUUGGUUAUUCAAUGUUCCAUGCCUGUGUGUGAAGAGCAGAGUUGAUGAGAACUUGGGAGAAGAUGAAUUCUGCUCUUCUGGGUUCAAGUUUCAUGUCCCUUAAGAAACAGAAAUAUCCUUGGGAAGAAGGUGACCUUUGGAUGAUUCUACACAUCUAUCAUAUCACUAGAGAUUAGAGGAUAUUUCCUGUUGGA